AUUGAACGCUGGCGGCAUGCCUAACACAUGCAAGUCGAACGGCAGCAUGAUAAGAGCUUGCUCUUAUUGAUGGCGAGUGGCGGACGGGUGAGUAAUAUGUAGGAAUCUACCUAGAGGAGCGGGAUAACUUAGGGAAACUUAAGCUAAUACCACAUAAUCCCUACGGGGGAAAGCAGGGGAUCUUCGGACCUUGCGCCUUAUGAUGAGCCUACAUCGGAUUAGCUUGUUGGUGGGGUAAAGGCCUACCAAGGCGACGAUCCGUAGCUGGUCUGAGAGGAUGACCAGCCACACUGGGACUGAGACACGGCCCAGACUCCUACGGGAGGCAGCAGUGGGGAAUAUUGGACAAUGGGGGCAACCCUGAUCCAGCAAUGCCGCGUGUGUGAAGAAGGCCUUAGGGUUGUAAAGCACUUUCAGUGGGGAGGAAGGUUUGAGUGCUAAUAUCAUUCAAAAUUGACGUUACCCACAGAAGAAGCACCGGCUAACUCUGUGCCAGCCGCCGCCGUAAUAC
rnacentral:rRNA from 1 species